rnacentral:piRNA from 1 species
UACUGGCGACUUUUAAAGAAAUCACCAAAGU